rnacentral:lncRNA from 1 species
CGGUGAGGGGAGAAAUGGGAGCGAUCUGGAAGGGGUCUGCAAAACCCGGGUUGGAUUAGACAGAGAUGGGAGGAACGAAGGCAGCUGCGACAGGGCCAAAUGCACCCCGGGCACGCAAAUUUCGGGCCGGAUUCUUCCUCGGGAGACGGAGUAAUGCGUCAUGCCUAAUGCAGUGGGAAUAAGCAAGACCUGGCCUAGAGCUCCCAGACCUGGGCUCGCAGGGGUCUCCGGGAAGGGGCUAUUUAGUGGCUGAGGCGGCGUGGGCUGCCCUCGUCUUCCUGGCAGCGACGUGCAAGAAGGAGGGGCAAAAGGAGGGCUGGACUCGGGCACGAAAGGAUCUGGAGCGCUGGCUGCACCGAAGCAGGCAGUGCGGACGCUGCACCUUCCUCACUCCCAAGAAACAAGAGUCCAGGAAGCCACCCAGGUCCAGUCUGAGCAACAGCUGGCAGGCAGCAAUGGUGGUCCAUUCCCGGUAAGGCACCAACUGGGAGGGGAGGCCAGUUGGGUUGCACUUCCCACCCCGACCGCUAGGGGCCGCUGCCCCGCUGCUCUGCGGCCGCCAGGUGAGGAGGAGGCCCCGCCUCUUCCCCAGCAGGUGCUCUGGUUGGUCGAGAGGGCAGGGGACUGGAGUAAAGAGAGCAGGGCUGGGGGAGGAGUUGGGGGAACGAAAUGGGGGUGAAGGGAGAGAGCUGAGCGAGUCCCACGUAGAGGAUGCUGAAAGAGGUGAGGUUGGAGGAGGCAGGUGAGGAGCCAGAGAUGGUUGACUGAGUGCUUGCGAGAAAGCAGGGGAGAGGAGGGGGAGUUGAGGUGUCUGGAGGAGAGAGGAGUUGGGGAGGGGGGGAAACUGAGGGUAUAGAGCAAAGUUAAGGGAAGGAAGACGGGUGAGCAGGUGAGGAGUCAGGGAUGGCCCUGGAGGUGAGGUGGACGUGACUGGGGGACAUUUGGACAGUGCGUGGGGACUGCUGGGAUGGUUGAGGGCUGGGCCUGGUCUGUGGGAAAUGAGGGACCCCAGAGAAGGCACCUGGCACUUUGCCAGUCGUGGCUGGUACGGACAGUGGGGGCGGGGGGGAGGAUAGUUUCUCAGAU